UCUUAGGAAUUUUUUAAAAGCUAUCUGGCUAAUUUCAGACAUCCCACGUGGCUUUGCUGGAGUUGUGGGUCAUAGCAUUUGAGGUUAUUAUGACAUUUUAUUCUCCACAUCCUCCUCCUCCCUCCCUUGGACCUUGGGUGGCUUCUGCUUAUAAACCUCCUGUGACAAUGGAAGUGUAGAGAAGAGGAAAGUGAUCAGGAGCAGGAUCUGAAAAUUGCUUCUAACCUCCAGUGCAACUUUGGAUAAGUCACUCAGAUUCUGCUUGGAUUUUUCAACCUAUGCUACACAUAGGAAAUAUAUGGACUGGAACACUAAUGGAUGAAUGACAUGGAAGACUGUUUUGCAGUUGAAAAACAACCUAAUUCAAUGGCUAUGGAGGUUCUGCAAUAUUGAGUUAUUAGCUGUUAGAGUAUGUUUAGAAAUUUUAAAUCUAGGUGCUUGUGAAAUGGAAUAUCAUAUUUACCUGGGCAAUAACAUUGAUAUGGAAUGUCACAAGACAAUUUGGGAAAUCUCCAAGAAAACCCUAAUUUGACAAUAAUAGUCUGCACUUUUCUUACAUUGAGUCCAUGGCUUUUAUAAUGCCAAACUAUAAUCAUGCCCUUGGGAAAACUAAUGGGAAUUAGGAGAGUUAAUUAUUAGUGGAGGUAAGAAUAAGAUUCAGAAUGUUCUGUAAAAUCGUGGACUCUCAAGGUUAGCCAUGACCUUCAGUUUCAUCCAGUCCAACUCCUUGCUUAACUCUUGAAUACCUCUAGAGGAUUCCUGCUGGGGGGUUGUGCCAUUGGCAGCAAAGUCAUUACAAUUUGAUGCAGUCUAUUCUAACCUUUGUAGUGCUGACCUUUCAAAAGCCUUUAUUUUGAUUCUGUACUUUCUACUUACAGGUUCCAGCUGUAUAAUAAAUAAUCAAUUAGAAAAAGUCUAACCUCUUUUCCACAUGUGUAUUAGUUACAGACAGAAACCACACCAUUCACUGGAACAGGGAAAAUGUAAUUUAAUGUAUUGCUAAUUAAAGAAAGUGGUUAAUUACCUAAAAAAUAAAAUAGGACUGUAAGAGGUCAAAGAGCAGGUACAAAGGAGCAGCUACGUAUUGCAGGACAAAGAAAGAGGAUAAUAAAGGAACAAAAGACCAGGAGAGCCCCACCCAACACCAAGGCUGAGAUUCAGACCUCACUGAAGAGAGUAUGGCUACAGCAGGAACAUACAGCCUGACAUACGCAAGAAACUUGGCAGAGGACACAGGCUGGUGCUGGUCUUUAGAAGCAGCUGCCAUUGACAGAGGUUGUGGGCAGGUGGGAGUGGCUCAAAAGCGGCCACUGGUGGAGAGCAUGGCCGGAUAGAGUCCCUCUGCAAAGGUGCUGGGCUCCUGUAUUAGUCUGUUUUCAUGCUGCUAAUAAAGACAUACUCAAGACUG